rnacentral:lncRNA from 1 species
AUGUGACCUGGGUGACUGUUUUAGUGCAGACUAGUUAUGGAGCACAAAACGUACUCAAAGUCGACUUAGUUUGGGCCUCCAUCUUGAUUUGGAUGCCCUUGCUGGUCCUCUACACCUCUAAGUCCCUCUCUAAGUGCCUAGUUAUCCUCUUCAUUGUUUCUAAUCAUAAUAUAAUCAUUAGGUAAUAAUCUACUUUCAAAAUCAUAUAAGGAAGAACUUAGGAACAAGCUUAUAUCUAAAUUUAAUUUC